rnacentral:lncRNA from 1 species
AGGGCUAGGAGCGUGCCGAGCCACACAGGGCUACGUCCUCCUGGCUGGGAGGGCCAUCUGUGGGCUCCUCCCUGCCACCUCACAGGCGCAGCGUGAAGCUGGGUGACCUCCCUGCAGGGUCCCUGCUGACUCCCCUCACCCUCUCCUCCAGGACCUGGACGUCCUCCCUUCCCCAGAGGCUCCCAGGCCUCCCUCGCCUUUCCUCCAAGAUUUCCCCAGAAUUGACCCAUUUAUUAGUCACCUCUGUGCUCCGUUGUGGGUCUGGCCCAAACCCAGCGCCUUCUGUUUACCUCUUUCUUUGGGAAUGUCACUUACUCCCGGCCUUUUCCCCUCAGGGAGGAAACGGGCCCAAUGUCCUCCCCCCAAUAGCCACCUGAGCCCUCUCUUUGUUAGGUCGAGACCCAGAGCUGCUCCCUGUACACUGGCCCAGAGAGGUCUCACGGUCCCCUCCCAGGGGACAGAUAAUUAUCUGCACUGGGACAGAUAAUUUCCAUGCUCCUGUGUCACAGCCCCAGUCCAGGAGACGCCCACUCAGACCAGAGCCCAGGGAGGGCCCAGCCCAGGAGACCCCCUCCCCCAGGCCUGUGGACAGAAGAGGCCAAGACAGGGGGAGGGAGGUGACAGAGCCAGGUGGGGCGGGGCCCCGAGAAACAGAGAUGUUGUGGUCCAAACUUGCAAAUAUCAAACAGUGUGGCCAAGGCCGCCUGGCCGCCCGGCUGGCCGCCCUCUCCUCUCCGUGCUGGCCUGCUCUGUGACGCAGCUUCCCACGUUACAAGCCGGUGGGGAUUCUGCCUUCCAGAGGCCGCAGCAGCUCUGGCCUCCCUGUGUGUGAGGUGCCUUCGAACCUAGAAAUGCAACCCACAGAGC